UAAAACUAAAUGCAUUUUAAAAGUGAAGUUAGAAUCAAACCCUUGUAGAGGUUCUCACUCCACCAAAACAUCACUGAAGAUUUCCAGGUUUCCCCAGGUAUCUGUUUGGAAGCUGCUGCCCUCAUUGACACACGUUGCUCAUUGUUUUUCUGACCUUAGAGGGGAGGGCAGGCUUGGCACUGUCACCUAGUACAGGAAAGGGCACAGUUUGACUUGAGGUAGCCACCCAUUCAACAAUAGCACCUAAACUCUCUCCCAAAUUCUGUGCAAAUACAGGUUGAGCAUCCCUAACCUGAGAUGCUUGGGCCCAGGAGUGUUUUGGAGUUCAGCUUUUUUUUGAUUUUGGAAUAUGUGUGUUAUGUACAUGCCACUUGAGCAUCCCUAAUCGGAAAAUCCCAAAUCCAAAUCGCUUCAGUGAGCACUUCCUUUGGGUGUAAUGUCAGCACUCAAAAUGUUUUGGAUUUUGGAGCAUUUUGUAUUUCGGAUGCUCGACCCAUAAAGCUGUGGGGCACAGUUGAGAUGAGGCCUUGUGGCCUUUGGAAAGAACAUCUGAGAACCUUCUGAGUAACCCCUGGUGCAAGGGAGACAGUACUAAGAACAAAGCAGUGUCACUGGGAUGGAGAAGGGGCUUGGUCAGAGGGAGGUGGGCAAUCAGAAGAACCUGAUCCUUCCAAAAGCCCCAAAUCUCGUGCUUGAGACCUCGCAUGACUGUGUAGGCAAUGCUUCCCGACCUUUUCAGGACUUGAAACAUGGGUGGUGUGUUUGUUUCCGUGUUGGGAACUUUGUCAAAGUCCCUCCGUUUGUAGAUGGGAUGCUGAGAUCUCAAGAGGUUUAAUCACUGGCUUACUCCCCGCCAUAGAAGAGGAGUGGCAAAAGCUAAGCCACUUGUGUACAUGCCGCUCUCAAUAUCCUUCUAGAAAGUCAGCUUCCAUCUGCUCUUCUAGAAAGUCAGCUUCCAUCU
rnacentral:lncRNA from 1 species